rnacentral:rRNA from 1 species
UACGUAGGGGGCUAGCGUUGUCCGGAAUCAUUGGGCGUAAAGCGCGCGUAGGCGGCCAGAUAAGUCCGGUGUGAAAGUCACAGGCUCAACCUGUGAAUGCCGCUGGAAACUGUCUGGCUUGAGUCCGGAAGGGGCGAGUGGAAUUCCUGGUGUAGCGGUGAAAUGCGCAGAUAUCAGGAGGAACACCGGUGGCGAAGGCGGAUCUCUGGGCCUUACCUGACGCUCAGGCGCGAAAGCUAGGGGAGCGAACUGG